rnacentral:rRNA from 1 species
UACGGGGGGAGCAAGCGUUGUUCGGAUUUACUGGGCGUAAAGGGCGCGUAGGCGGCCACCGCAAGUCGACUGUGAAAUCUCCGGGCUUAACCCGGAAAGGUCAGCCGAUACUGCGGGGCUAGAGUGCAGAAGGGGCAGCUGGAAUUCUCGGUGUAGCGGUGAAAUGCGUAGAUAUCGAGAGGAACACCUGCGGCGAAGGCGGGUUGCUGGGCUGACACUGACGCUGAUGCGCGAAAGCUAGGGGAGCGAACGGG